GCACACACAGGGCUGUGCCCCCUUCUACACAUGAACUAACUGAGAAGAAACAUCACUUCCCAAUAUAACUGUUACGCUAUAAAUUAACAUUCACGUCAUGGCCAAAUCCUCAUAGCAGUUGUGCUGUACAGAGAAGCUGCUUUCCAGAGCCACGGGGGCACAGCCUGAGCAGUUUGUGGAGAAGGGGACCAAGGCCUCUCAGCCUAUGCUGGGCUCCAGGGCCAGAAAAGCACAAACUGUCUGACUCCAGGAGCUGGGAUUUUAAGAAAAGCUGCCAGCAGUUGCACAGAUACUGAGGAAAAUGGUGGCACGUAAUGACCAGGGCCACUGUGACUGAAUAUGAGAGGAGAGCCUGCAGCAAGGCACCGCAGCAAAAACAAGGCUCCCCCAAACGAGGCUCCAUCUUGAAGAUCUACGAGUGUUCUGGUGGAGAUGCUUCUGCAAAGCCCGGCCCCAUCCUGAAUCUGAGGACAUCAGACCAGUUCAUGUCAGAAGACGAUACUCCCGUGUCAUUCUUCAGUUUUCUGCUCCAUCUGAAUACAGUUCUUCCGACCAUGGCUGAUAAGAAACCAUUUGUCUUAGAAAGCCCCAAAGCUGCUGAGAUGUACGGAUUCAAAGACAGCUGCGAGUUUUGGUCCUUUCUG
rnacentral:lncRNA from 1 species